AGGCUGGCCUUGACGUUUGAAAAAACGGCCAGCAGCCGCGGUAAUACGGAGGGUGCGAGCGUUAAUCGGAAUUACUGGGCGUAAAGCGCGCGUAGGCGGCCUGAUAAGUUGGAUGUGAAAGCCCCGGGCUCAACCUGGGAACUGCGUUCAAAACUGUCAGGCUAGAGUAUGGUAGAGGAUAGUGGAAUUUCCGGUGUAGCGGUGAAAUGCGUAGAGAUCGGAAGGAACAUCAGUGGCGAAGGCGGCUAUCUGGACCAAUACUGACGCUGAGGUGCGAGAGCGUGGGGAGCAAACAGGAUUAGAUACCCUGGUAGUCCACGCCGUAAACGAUGUCAACUAGCCGUUGGGGGGCUUGUCCCUUUAGUGGCGCAGCUAACGCGAUAAGUUGACCGCCUGGGGAGUACGGCCGCAAGGUUAAAACUCAAAUGAAUUGACGGGGGCCCGCACAAGCGGUGGAGCAUGUGGUUUAAUUCGAUGCAACGCGAAGAACCUUACCAGGUCUUGACAUCCCGAGAAUUUACUAGAGAUAGUUUAGUGCCUUCGGGAACUCGGUGACAGGUGCUGCAUGGCUGCCGUCAGCUCGUGUCGUGAGAUGUUGGGUUAAGUCCCGUAACGAGCGCAACCCUUGUCCUUAGUUGCCAGCACGUAAUGGUGGGAACUCUAAGGAGACUGCCGGUGACAAACCGGAGGAAGGUGGGGACGACGUCAAGUCAUCAUGGCCCUUACGACCUGGGCUACACACGUGCUACAAUGGUCGGUACAGAGGGUUGCCAAGCCGCGAGGUGGAGCUAAUCCCUUAAAACCGAUCGUAGUCCGGAUUGGAGUCUGCAACUCGACUCCAUGAAGCCGGAAUCGCUAGUAAUCGCGAAUCAGAAUGUCGCGGUGAAUACGUUCCCGGGCCUUGUACACACCGCCCAACAGACCAUGGGAGUGGGUUGCAAAAGAAGUGGGUAG
rnacentral:rRNA from 1 species